AAAAAUAAUCCUUUCUCUUUGUCUUCAGGUGCAAAAUCUCCCAGAUGCAAAUUGCAAAUCACCAAGGGCAUCAACGCCUAGGAAGUGUUCGAAUCCCUGUCACCUUUGUCAGGAACCCUUUUCUUAUGAUUGUCUGAUCUGCUCUGUGGGAGCUGAGAUACACACACCCACGACACACACCACACGGAAGAUUAGGGCUAGCAGGAUUUGCAAGUUUGCCCAACCUUCUUGUUUUUUCAAAGAUAGAAGCCAAGAUAUCGACAGGAGUUAGGGUGGGGGGUGUCACUUGCCCAAGGGCACACAGCAAUUUAACACAAUAAACUUAGUGCAUCUCUUUGGAGGAGCUCUUAUACGCCCACCACGCAUACUUUAUUAAGUUAAUUCACUAAAUGCACUUCUCUAGCCCAGGCCAAAAGUGAACUGGGGUUGAAAUCAGCCAAUAUGGCUGAUACCAAGGGAUAGCCAGCUCCAUGGGAGAGGCAGACAGGCUGUCCAACCAGCACGUGAAUACCCAGAGCUCCUGGGUUGUAAGAACAUAGGUAGCUCAGAGCCUGUUUCCUAAAUCAAUGUGCUUAAGAGACCCCAUUGUGGCAUUCCCCACCAUGAGGAGAGAAAGCCAGCCGAGAGACAGAAGAGUGAGCCUGGGUUUAUCCUUGGGUUAAAAGCAGGAAGCAGAAUUAGCAAGCAGCUGGGGCUUCUGUAGGAGGAGGGGUGCAGGGUGUCCAGGAUUCUGGUAGCUACAGGCUUGGUGCAUACAGGGCGCUAACCCAGCAGACAGAACAGCCCCAGGAGCUGGUAAAAGGGACUGUAGCACCUGCCUGAGCUUGUACAGACCCUUGUCCAGUCCCCACUUGUGGAGGGCGUCUGCCUGGGUAAUGUGCGCUGGCUAAGGGGAAGGCACAGAGCUGCCUGGAGAAUGGCUUCUGUCCUCAGCACUUCUUUAUUACAGGUGAAAAUUGCUAAAUGACUUCUCUGGUGACAGACAAAGAGUUCGGAGGAGGGAAGGAUUGCUCCCAGGUGGGAAUGGAAUCUAAGAAGGCUUCCUGGAGGAAGUAGCAUCUAAGACUUGAAGACCAGAAAGGAUUUAAAGACAAGAAGAUGGGAGGAAGGAAGACCAGGAAAUGGCAAGGAGAGGAAACAACACAAAGGCUGGAAGGACAGAAGACGAGGAAGAAGUGCUCGUGGGGUUUCCAAGAGGAAACACUCAGCAAUAAGCAGGCUCUUCAAACCUGAGACGUGCUGGGUCUCCAUCAAAAUCCUGAGGACCCAGCUCAGCACCUGCCAUCCUUCCCCGGGGAACUCACCUGGGCUGUGGAAGAUUUGAGAGACUGUGGUAAAGCCUUUGGACCUGGAGGCCUUCAGGGCCUGGUGG